rnacentral:rRNA from 1 species
UGCAAGUCGAACGAUGAAGCCUAGCUUGCUGGGUGGAUUAGUGGCGAACGGGUGAGUAACACGUGAGUAACCUGCCCUUGACUCUGGGAUAAGCACUGGAAACGGUGUCUAAUACCGGAUAUUUCAGCUGGCCGCAUGGUCUGGUUGUGGAAAGAAUUUUGGUCAAGGAUGGACUCGCGGCCUAUCAGGUUGUUGGUGAGGUAAUGGCUCACCAAGCCUACGACGGGUAGCCGGCCUGAGAGGGUGACCGGCCACACUGGGACUGAGACACGGCCCAGACUCCUACGGGAGGCAGCAGUGGGGAAUAUUGCACAAUGGGCGAAAGCCUGAUGCAGCAACGCCGCGUGAGGGACGACGGCCUUCGGGUUGUAAACCUCUUUUAGUAGGGAAGAAGCGAAAGUGACGGUACCUGCAGAAAAAGCACCGGCUAACUACGUGCCAGCAGCCGCGGUAAUACGUAGGGUGCAAGCGUUGUCCGGAAUUAUUGGGCGUAAAGAGCUCGUAGGCGGUUUGUCGCGUCUGCUGUGAAAACUGGAGGCUCAACCUCCAGCCUGCAGUGGGUACGGGCAGACUAGAGUGCGGUAGGGGAGAUUGGAAUUCCUGGUGUAGCGGUGGAAUGCGCAGAUAUCAGGAGGAACACCGAUGGCGAAGGCAGAUCUCUGGGCCGUAACUGACGCUGAGGAGCGAAAGCAUGGGGAGCGAACAGGAUUAGAUACCCUGGUAGUCCAUGCCGUAAACGUUGGGAACUAGAUGUGGGGGCCAUUCCACGGUCUCCGUGUCGCAGCUAACGCAUUAAGUUCCCCGCCUGGGGAGUACGGCCGCAAGGCUAAAACUCAAAGGAAUUGACGGGGGCCCGCACAAGCGGCGGAGCAUGCGGAUUAAUUCGAUGCAACGCGAAGAACCUUACCAAGGCUUGACAUAUACGAGAACGGGCCAGAAAUGGUCAACUCUUUGGACACUCGUAAACAGGUGGUGCAUGGUUGUCGUCAGCUCGUGUCGUGA